rnacentral:misc_RNA from 1 species
GAUGAAGAACGUAGCGAAAUGCGAUAAGUAAUGUGAAUUGCAGAAUUCAGUGAAUCAUCGAAUCUUUGAACGCACAUUGCGCCCGCCAGUAUUCUGGCGGGCAUGCCUGUUCGAGCGUCAUUUCAACCAUCAAGCCCCCGGCUUGUGUUGGGGACCUGCGGCUGCCGCAGGCCCUGAAAACCAGUGGCGGGCUCGCUGUCACACCGAGCGUAGUAGAUUUUCAUCUCGCUCAGGGCGUGCUGCGGGUUCCGGCCGUAAAAAGCCUUAUUUACCCAAGGUUGACCUCGGAUCAGGUAGGAAGACCCGCUGAACUUAAGCAUAUCCAAUAAGCGGAGGA